GAUUUCUGCCUACCUGAGGUCUUCUGAAGUUUGCAGUGUCAGUCUCAGAGGAUUAUACAGUCUCUGACGUGUGAUUCAGGUGAAGAACGAGGUAGAUGAGUUUCAAAAGAGGAACCUGCAAAGCAGCGUAACAGAGGAAGAAGAAUGAAGAUAUGAGAUGGUAUCUAAACCUUGGAGAAGGGGUUACAACAGGACUGUAAGAUACAAUCUCUGCACACACAUCCACGAAACAUGAUAUGUGCAGCCCACAGGCUUGUACAUCUAGUCGUAACAAACCUUGCUUCGUUCUCUACUAUUUGUGGAGAUACUGACUACUUCAACACCCAUAAGUGGAAAGCUCAUGUCAAGCUACCAAGUCAGAUGUUGAUAGGGACAACUCAGCUGGCUGGUCAGUAGUUUAUUAUCCAUCCCUACUCAAGGAACACUUUUCCAAGAAACCCUUCAGCUUCUGGCACAGUAACUACAGAGGCGCAAUGCUGCUGGCUGCAGAACAGCAUAACAAGGAGCAAUCUCUCCUCAUGCAACCUUUAAGUAUAGGCUUUAAGUGUUGCAAGCAUUCCCUAGGGCAAGUGAGACUGAAAUGGCACCUCAGCACAUGUACUACCCAACUCUGGGAUUUCAAACUACAUACCAUUCCCUUCCAGCUGGAGACAAGUUUAUGAGCUUGAGCAGGCAAUGAGAGCUUCUUUCCAUACUAAUGAAAUGUCCAAGUCCUAAUGGAUUAGUAGUUUUCAUAUCAGAUUAAAUCUUCUAUUUUUGCUGAUAAAGGCACAAAAGUCACUCCUAAUAGGCUUUCAGAUUUUGUUAGCAAAAAUACAUCUCAAUAGAGCACAGUGCCAAUGAGAUACAAACAAGACAGAAGAGGCUUUAACGUGUUAUGACGGACUGCUCAGAAACUCUGCUUUCCUCCAACUGGCCAGAACACAGAGAGACAACAUGCAGAGGUUGAUUGCUGAUGCAUAGAAACCCUAUGGGCACGUUUCUAGAAACUCAUGCACAGCCAGCCAACCUCUGGUCUCCACAGAAGUCCCUGGAGCUGUUCUGGAACCCUGAUCGGCCACGGGGACUCUGGAGUCUGAGGAAGUUUUCAGGCUAUUUUGAUGCCAGAAGUUAUUCCAUUCAUUCAUAAAGUCACUGAUUGGAUAGAGAUCCCAAAUUCAAUGGCUCACCAGUAACCUUUCACCAUACAGGACUACAAGUGUUGGGAUAAAAUAUCAGCCAUGCAGUUCCUCUGGAUUUACUUAAAGACAGAAGCCUCACACAUCUACCCCAGGUGAAAACAUACAUCCUGUUGUGCUUUCUAAGCAUGUUAAAUUCUCUCCAUGUGCCAAUCUAUAUUUAUAAGUGAUAUAAAGUAUAGCAUAAUAUUGUCUCUACCCACAAGUACUUGGAUAGCUUUUUUAAAUGGCUGUUUUUGUUCUUGUUGCUGUUUUCUUCGCACCUAUAAGCUUUUCUAUUUGUUAUUUUGGUUCCUAACAAAGUGAUUGCUGUUUCAAUCAGUGUUCCAGUAUGCUCCCUUCCUUUAGUUUCUGAAUGAGUCUAUGAUAAUUUUCAGAAAGGAAGGGAAAAAGGCAGAUGAAUUAUGGCACCUGAAGUCAGAAAGAAAAUUCUGAAAGGAAAAUGUAAUUAAGAAAUAAAUUGAAAAACGGAAGCACCUGUGAUACAGUGGUCAGGAGUGAUUAUUUUAGGGCAGAUACCAUUGCAGGCAGCUUAAUUCCCUUUCAUUCUUUUCUUUCAAGAUUUGGACUGUUUGCUCAUUUAUAGGGAUAAAAUGUAAACCUCUCCUACUUGCACUGUUAGAUGUAAUGAGUACUAUUUUGCAGUUAAGUAAAAUACUGACAUAGUUCCACUGAUGAAAAGGUUUCUGUUGCUUUUCAGAAAGCCCCCGAUUCUUUAAUUUAUAGGGCGUAGUUAAAAUCUGCUUGGCAAAUAUGUAUCUGGAACGUGUUUUGCUUGUAUGGCUAAAAGCCACCAGUCCUCUAAAUUCAAAGGUUUUAGAGAGAUCGAAAAGGCUGUAAGAAAUUCCCAUCUCUAAAGAAUUCUUUAAAUUAGUUUCUGAGCAAGAUGGGAAUGGAAAAUAUGAAGGAGAGUGACUGCAGAAAUGGUAAAUAACAGUGACAUUUUGAAUGUUUGAUCAAGAAUUGAUCCUAAUAUAAUUUUACAUGGAAAUAUGAGUACACUGGGAUAUGAAGCACUGCUGAAAUUUUAUGGAUUUUUGAGUCAGUAGCACUGAAGGGGUAUGAGAUGCAAUGAAUGUGCUGACACCUGAAAACGUACUUUAUCUUUGGGACAGACCCAAACAGAUUCUACCCUAGAACAUUAUAAGAGCAUGAUGACUUGUUUCUGGCCUCUCAUACUUGUUCCUUUCGCAGGGCCUGGAAGCAAAGUCUGACUGAAGUCCAGUAAUGCAGAUUUUCCUCUUUAUGAUGGACCCAGGGCUAUCCCAUAACCACAGAACAUUAAGCCCUGCCAUAUUUUUUUCCAAUUUGUAGGAAAUUUGUCCCCUUUUACCAAAUGCAUCACAAAGAACAUUAUUAAGUAACAAAUGCU